rnacentral:lncRNA from 1 species
UCGGUUACGAUUAUCAUGCUAUACAAAUAUUGUUCAUUAUUAACUACAAAUUAAAUCUUAUUAUAACGUUUGACCCAUUUAUUUGCUGUCUUGAAUGUGUCAGUCUCUCAGUGACUACAUGUGAUUACGUCUUAUUUGAAGCUCACUUUUGGUGUCACACAACAGAGUCCCCCUAAAUGAGAAGCUCAUCCUCCCGAGCUCCUGUCAUCCAAUGGGAAUGGAGGAGUGGUGGUGCGGGGAUUGGACCAGGUGGGAGCUUCAAAGUUCUUCUCGUAAUCCAGGGAAAAGCUGAAGAGUUGCCCCCGAGACGUGAAGAACAUCUCUCCAGUCUGUCUGUUCCUGCCUCUGCUUGUCCCUCAGGGUCCAGGUCAUCUCAGAAACCUACACACACACGUACACACUCACACACACACAGACACCACAGGCUUCACCCUAUAUCUGGGCAGCUUUAGUCUGUCAGCAUCUCAGUGCACAAUCCCAUCAGAUACACACACUGACCCACAAACAACACACACACACACACACACACAUUGAGAUGCAGGGGUCUUUGUGCAGCCCUUCAGCCGAGGGAGCAGGAGUCUGCGAAGGGGAAAUAAAAGCAGGGUUAUCAUCUACAGCCGCAAAUGUGUCUGGCGUGAAGAGAAAGGCCAUUUUGAUUGCCCGUCCAAGAGAGUGAGUGCAAAACAUUGUGUAUAAUAACAUAUGGUAAUGCAGCUGUUUUUAUGGCCCUGUUUUUGUCCCUAUCCGUCCCAUCUCGCCGCUCCCAAAUGCUCCCAUUUACACUCAUCUCCACAAUUUAGAGAAUUCCUGCAAUGCUGGCACACACACACACACACAAAACAGCGGCAGAUGAGAAAGGCUUCUUUAGUGUUUUCUCUCUCUCUCUUUCUCUCUCUCUCCAGAACAGUUUGUGUUUUUCAGCUCCGGUGAAUUUAAAGAAUUGCAGAGUUAUCGUGGCUUCACCCCCA